rnacentral:misc_RNA from 1 species
GAUGAAGAACGCAGCGAACGUGCGAAACGUAAUGUGAAUUGCAGAAUUCAGUGAAUCAUCGAAUCUUUGAACGCAUCUUGCGCUCCUUGGUAUUCCGAGGAGCAUGCCUGUUUGAGUGUCGUGAAUACUCUCAACUUCAACCCUUUUUUCGGAAAGGGAGGAAGGUUGGACUUGGGUGUUUGUUGAAGUGCGAGCUUCGACUCAUCCUAAAUGCAUUAGCGAUCUGCCUCGAUCACACACAAUGUGAUAAUUAAAGCUAAAGCAUUGUUUAAUGAUCAAGUCGAGACUGCUUCUAACUGUCGCAAGACAAUAACGUGCAUACAUUUGUGCAUGUCAUUUGACCUCAAAUCAGGUAGGACUACCCGCUGAACUUAAGCAUAUCAAUAAGCGGAGGA